rnacentral:rRNA from 1 species
GAUGAACGCUGGCGGCGUGCCUAAUACAUACAAGUCGAGCGAAUGGAUUGAGAGCUUGCUCUUAUGAAGUUAGCGGCGGACGGGUGAGUAACACGUGGGUAACCUGCCCAUAAGACUGGGAUAACUCCGGGAAACCGGGGCUAAUACCGGAUAACGUUUUGAACCGCAUGGUUCGAAAUUGAAAGGCGGCUUCGGCUGUCACUUAUGGAUGGACCCGCGUCGCAUUAGCUAGUUGGUGAGGUAACGGCUCACCAAGGCAACGAUGCGUAGCCGACCUGAGAGGGUGAUCGGCCACACUGGGACUGAGACACGGCCCAGACUCCUACGGGAGGCAGCAGUAGGGAAUCUUCCGCAAUGGACGAAAGUCUGACGGAGCAACGCCGCGUGAGUGAUGAAGGCUUUCGGGUCGUAAAACUCUGUUGUUAGGGAAGAACAAGUGCUAGUUGAAUAAGCCGGCACCUUGACGGUACCUAACCAGAAAGCACGGCUAACUACGUGCCAGCCGCCGCAGUAA